rnacentral:lncRNA from 1 species
GCAAAAAAAACAGAAUCUACCACUAAGUAACUAAAAAGAAUCUAGCUACCACUAAAUACCAAACAAUAAAAAUCAACUUCUUCUUCUUUUUUCUCUUCUUCUCCUUCUUAUUUUUUUCUUCUUCUCUUCUUCUCUUCUUCUUCUCUUCUUCUUUACUUCUUCUCCUUCUUAUUUUUUAUCUCUUCUUCUUCUUCUUCUUCUUCUUCUUCUUCUUCUUCUUCUUCUUCUUCUCCUUCUUAUUUUUUGUUCUCC